CCUACGGGUGGCAGCAGUGAGGAAUAUUGGUCAAUGGCCGAAAGCCUGAACCAGCCAAGUCGCGUGAGGGAUGACGGCCCUACGGGUUGUAAACUGCUUUUGCCGGGGAGUAAAGAGCGGGACGCGUACCGCUUCGCGUGUACCCGGUGAAUAAGCACCGGCUAAUUCCGUGCCAGCAGCCGCGGUAAUACGGAGGGUUCGGGCGUUAUCCGGAUUUAUUGGGGUUAAAGGGUGCGCAGGCGGAAGGGCAAGGCUGCGGUUAAAGUUGGAGGCUCAACCCUGGCCCUGCCGUUGAAACUGGCGUUCUUGAGUAGGCGGGAAGUACGCGGAAUGCGUGGUGUAGCGGUGAAAUGCAUAGAUAUCACGAAGAACUCCGAUUGCGAAGGCAGCGUACCGGAGCCCAACUGACGCUGAUGCACGAAAGCGUGGGUAUCGAACAGGAUUAGAUACCCCAGUAGUC
rnacentral:rRNA from 1 species